GACGAACGCUGGCGGCGUGCUUAACACAUGCAAGUCGAACGUAGUGGCGAACGGGUGAGUAACACGUGAGCAACCUACCUUACACAGGGGGAUAGCCGUUGGAAACGACGAUUAAUACCGCAUGGUGUAAGAAGGGCUCGCGUCUGAUUAGCUAGUUGGAAGGGUAAAGGCCUACCAAGGCGACGAUCAGUAGCCGGUCUGAGAGGAUGAACCGCCACACUGGAACGGAGACACGGUGGAGAAUCUUACGGGAGGCAGCAGUGGGGAAUAUAGCACAAUGGGGGGAACCCUGAUGGAGCGAGGCCGGGUGAGCGAAGAAGGUUUGCGAAUCGGAAAGCGCUGUCCUAGGAGAAGCGGUAUAAUAGGAGGAAGCACCGGCUAAAUACGUGCCAGCAGCCGCGGUAAUAC
rnacentral:rRNA from 1 species